rnacentral:rRNA from 1 species
GACGAACGCUGGCGGCGCGCCUAACACAUGCAAGUCGAACGAGCGAGAGAGAGCUUGCUUUCUCAAGCGAGUGGCGAAACGGGUGAGUAACGCGUGAGGAACCUGCCUCAAAGAGGGGGACAACAGUUGGAAACGACUGCUAAUACCGCAUAAGCCCACGACCCGGCAUCGGGUUGAGGGAAAAGGAGCAAUCCGCUUUGAGAUGGCCUCGCGUCCGAUUAGCUAGUUGGUGAGGUAACGGCCCACCAAGGCGACGAUCAGUAGCCGGACUGAGAGGUUGGCCGGCCACAUUGGGACUGAGACACGGCCCAG